rnacentral:misc_RNA from 1 species
AAUAAUGACGAGGGGAAAAAUAAAUAAAAACAAAACAACAAAACGUGACAUUUGCCUGUUGACUUUUGACACUUGCAAUCAUUUUGGGCAAACCCGAAGCGAAGAUUUAUAUGCAAACUCGACAGAUCUUCAUGUAAAUUCAACGCCAGACAUGCAUGUUAGGCUCAAAUUUUUCAAGUAAUUCGCAAUGGUUUACAUAGAGCUGCUACUUCGAUUCGCUUGGAUAUUUGGCACACGUGACCCAGAUGGGCGUUACUCCAUUUAAUUAUGUGGCACACCAAGAAACGAGAAAUACAUAAAGCAUCAUUUGUCAACCGGCAAAAUUUCGGUUAACUAUUACCUCGCGUGGCCCAGAAAAGCGAGGCAGCCCACGAAAAUAGAAAAUAAAUAAAUGCAAAAAAAAAUAAAAAUAAAAAUAAAAUAAAAGGGAACCCAGCCAGGCGACAUGCUAUAAACAUUUUUGUUCAUUUCAUUUCGCGCAGACAUGAAACAUAAGUGAAUUUCAUUUAGUUUUCAUUAUUACGCCUAUUUCCGUACGCCGAAAGCAGGCCACAAAUUGCAUGCCACCUAAUUUGGUUAGGGCCCCGGAAUGCUUUUUCAACCGGGCAUUAACCAGCCAACUAUCCGUGCCCAGGCCCCCUAAAUGUGACCCCAUAAACCAUUGACCCACUAACCCCAACCCUAAGUAAUGACCCCGGGCGAAAAACGUCAACAAAUCCAUAUAGAUUUCAACUGGAGGGACUCCGCUUGGGCAGCGGAAGUGGCGGCGAUUCCAUUUCGUUGGUCAGUUGGUGUGCUGCGUCACCAGAGGGGAACCAAUCGGUGGUCAGUGCUACAGUUGGCAUAGGUCGAUGCUUGUUGGACUUGGUGGUUCUAGUUAUUAGAUCAAAAGAUUCUAAUAACGUAUAAAAAAUAGAAAUUGUUUGGUUAUUAUAACUAUACAAAUUACUAUUUUAAACCAAGUAUUUACACAUCCACCUAAUAGCUUUUUAACAUUCUAAAAACCUGUUCCAUUUUCCAACUAUUUCCAUUACUGUCACCAGUAAAUUCCUGGUCACUAUUUCAAAUCAUACAAAAACCAGAGCGGCGAAAAAAGAGUGCAGCAACAGAUGCCACAAGGUGUGCGCCUGACAUAUAAACCCUAAUACCCCAACACAACGCCAAAUGCGAACAAUCGGCAACCCCCAACUGCCAACGGGCCAACGUGGCGUAUGUGUAAUGGUGGUCAAUGCACUGCUUAAAUCGGAAAAGCUCCCCAGCCGUAACCUCCAAUCUAGGGGGACAAAUGGGAAAAGGCAUCGGUUGGUUGGUAGGAAAAGAUAAAGGCAAAAAACAAUAACAAUUUUAAUAACUUCCGUUCUAGAAACACUUUUCACUGGCUAUCGAAUGCACAAAGACAAUAGCGUGAAAUGGGGGGCUUUUUGGGUAUUGGGACUGGCCAAGUGCAGCGGGUUAGCGGAUUUUAUUGCCCGUGUUUCUGUGCAUUAUGUUUUAUUGAGCCCAACUGUGCGGCACCAACAAUCGUGAAAAUCGCUUUAAGUGGCAACUGCCCGCUUUGGGUGGAACAAAGUGGAUCGGAGUUGUCGCUUUUGUUGUCGGAAAAUGACAAUUAGCCGUGUGUUUUCCUCCAUUUUCUUUCCACUUGCUCAUUUGACAGUCGACUGCAUUUCCACUCGUUGCCCACAAAUGCAAAUGGGGAAUGGAAAAUACAAAAGGAAUAAGCGCACAAAUAUAGAUGCAUCUGAUGUUGAUGUUGAUUUUUCGUAGCUCGUCGCGGAAGUCUUCGAAUGUAAUUCCAGAUUGAGUAAUAAACAUCCAAUUAUCUGUGUGUAACAGCUGCAAGCGCAUUGCAGAUUUUGGUUAAUGGGUCUGUCGACAUCGAGAUGAAAAUGCAGGAAGCGAAGUGAAAACUGUUACAAUCUGAAUCGAAAUUAGCCACGGGGGAUUAUUUGUUUUCGAAAUAGAGUUAAAAAUGAUGAGAGUGAGUCGUUGCAAGGGGAAAUCGGUGCGGAGAUCGAGAUCCCCAGUAACCUUUCGACUUUGAUUGAUUGGCAGACGGUGCGGAGUAUGGAGAAGGUUUUCUCCACUUUGUGGGCUUGGUAAUCCGAAAAAUACAAGCUAAAAUACUGCUAAACUGUUGGUUUUUGUUAAACUAUAACAAAUGAACCUUGUCGAAUAUAUUACAACAUAAUCACUCAAGCAGUUUGAGUUCUGAGUGUGAAGUGCCUCCACUUAUAAUUGCCCGCUUUUACAACACAAGACAAUAAUUAUUUCUGUCACAAUAUGAUGUGCCAUGUGCUGGGCAAAUUUUAAUAGCACCCAAAAAAAGAAUCUUCGCCACUAAUUCAAUUCUCGUUAAUGGUCUGCCCAACCUUGAUGUUCAUUAACCCACCAGACCGACUCAAGUUCAAUCACAAAGCCUCAGGGCAGGGCAAAAUAAAAAAAAAAGAGAAAAAAAAUAUAUCAACUAAUCAAAAUGUCACACUUUCCAUACAGAAAGCGGAGAAAAAAUCUGCUGACAGCUGACAAAACCAAAGCAACCAAAACCAAAACCCAGCAACUACAAACUACGAGCUUUUCUGUGUGUGUGUUUGUAGUUUUUGUGGCGGAGGAAGGGGGCGUUGGCGCUUUACAAUGAGCCAUGGAAUACUCGAGCAAUUGCUGGUGGGUCCGAUGGGUGGUUCAUGGUGGUGCGCGGUGUGGUGCAGGGCGGUGGUGCUCAGAUUACAGCAGACAGGGGCCAGGAAAACGCCGAGCGACGUUGACGACUCGCGACAAUUGCCUCAACUUUGGCGUUAAUGAACAUGAGCACACUUUACCAAAGCGAGACGAGAGUUUUUCAUGGCCCAAGCCCCCCUUCCAUUCCAUUUCAGGCCUGAUUCCAAGACGGCAUAAUGAAUUGAUGUGGCUGCUGCCAGCGCGAUGAUUAUGAUGAGAUCCAGUCGAGUCGAGUCGAGAUGGGAAAAGCAUAGACGGCGUAGCAAAACUCGUCCACAAUUUGUGAGAGAAGCGAAAGAGCGAACAAAAAGCAUUUUAACAUUUAAUAAUAUGAAAAUAAUUGAAGCAAUUACUAAAAGCAACAUAUACGAGUGACAGAGCGAAGGCACGAUCAACACAAUUAACCAUAUUGUAGUUUCUUUAUGACCCAGACCGCUUGUGCGAGAAUUGUUAUAUAAAGGCAAGAAGAGAUCGUGCGAGCUAUAAAAUCGAUAAGUUAAAUUUUUAUUAAUUAAAUAUUAUACUUAUUUCUCAAACCACGAUGUGCAAUCCUUUAGUCUACCAUUGGGUUAAUGAUAUUACCUGUGCCACUUGCUUUUGCGGCCGAUUAGUUAACAAGCUCGACUUACCAGCCUGUAAACUAGAUCAAUUACAGAUUUUACCCCUUUCCCUUUUGGUCCCUCAAUCCUAAUGUUUCUACUUAUCGAAGAAGGCAGAAAGCCGAAGCAAACAAGUAAGGGAAAAGGCAAACCACAGGCAGAAACAAUUGACAUUUGAUUGACUGACAGUCGUUUGUCAGUUUUUUGACAAUUAGGCGUCAAAGUGAAAUUGCUUUCGAUUUCAUAUGAAAACGGAGACAUAUGCCCCACAAUUGCCUUGAAAACUGAUUGGGAAAUUCUGGGACUGGCCUUGAUUGCUGUGGAACUAUUUUUAACACAAAACUGUGUUUGGUUUACUAUUUUUGCAGCUACCCAAAAAAAAAGUCAAAGAGAAGGCCUGCCGAAAUUAGGUCAAAAUUCUCCCACUUGGCAUGCGAAAUAAAAUGGCGAGAGAAGGAAAAAUUUUAAACAUUUGAAUAUAAAACUAAUUGGGGGUCGUGCUCGAAAGACAAAAGUCUUCUUAUAAAAUGAUCAAGUUGGCGGCGAUCAUCCAUCGGCUAUCAUGAUUACCCUCAUCUUUUGAGAAUGGGGAUUUUUGUAAUCUUUUCGCUGGAAAUGGGGCUGCAGAGUCCCCAAAGUCCAUUUAGCAUUGAACCAGUUUUUUGAUCUCCGGCCAGGCAGUUCAUUACGAAGAUAAACACAUCAAUCGGCCAAAUUUAAUAGUAUUUAUUUGGUUUUCGUCUAUUUUUACUGCUAAUUUUCACAGUUUGCUCUUUGCUUUAUUACAUUUCGAAUCGCAUAAGACACAUAUUUGCCGGAUGACAAACAACAUUAUAUCGUGUGUGUCGGCUUUUGUUUAUAAUGCCAAAUUCAGAGGUUCACUGAACUGAACCGCUUGUCGCGUGGUCACCAGAAGAGGGGUAAUUAGUGAUGGCAUUUGGUCUGAAUUCCCCCGUUCGCCGAUCGAUCCAACUAGUUUAUUUCACAGAAUCCAAUUGAGUGCUGGUGCUCACAAAUAAAUGAUACACAUCUUGUUCGGCUUCUAAGGCAUCGAUUACGUGCAGAGCAUCUGUAACGAGCUCUCAGUCAAAGUAGAAGCCACAAAUUGCAUGGCUUGCACACUAAACCCAUUCACUGCACAUAUAGAGUGGUGGUGGGUGGUUUUCCACUCGGGUGGAAAAACAGUUUCUCGAGUGCUGUUGCACCUGAGCCGAGGAAAUCCCGCACGAAAAACUAUUUGGCGAGUGUUUUUUAUUGCACUCUUCAAGGCACCUGGUGUGCUAAGCUUAUGUGCUCAAAUAUUCAGGGACAAAAUAAAAACGCUUUUACGGGAUUAUAUAUUUUAAGCAUCCCCGAAUCCAUUGUUUCUGAUCACCUUUUUGGCGCACACAGCGUGCUUCGUGAGCUUGUGGCCAUUAAAAUGCGCUUUUAUAUCGCGGUUUUAUGGCUAAAUUUUAUUUAAAUCUGGACCGUUUCGAGAGUUUCUCGUUGAGGCUGGGCAAGGUUUAUUUUUGUGCAACAGCCACGAGAACAGGCGAAUUUCUUUGUUUACUUUUCGUGUGCGAGGAGAAUCAUUAAAAACUUGACCCAGUUUUUCGGCGCACCUGGCGUGCACCGAUAACGAUUGGAAUUCCGAUUCCAAAUCCUAUUCCGAUGACCAGCCGCCACCAAGCUCCAGCUUUGAAACCCCAGCUCAGCUUUUGCCUUUGUUUCUGAUUUGUUUGCCAGCCAAGGCUGUAGCAAAUCCAUUCACUCGCCUUAGUCAGCAACGACUUUGCAGUUUCAGUUGCAGUUUGGGUUUCAGUUUUUCGUCCAUCUUACAUCUUUCGAACAAUGAAAAAUUGGCAAUAGUCAUGAAAGCGAAGCAUUCAAAAAUAAAAACAAGUACCAGAAAUCCGCGAAGCGCAAAGCAAUUAGACAUGCAAUUCUCGAAAGUACAAGUAAUGUCAAAGUUGUAAUUAAAACACGUCCGUAAAGCUGUUCAAAUUUUGAGCAGAUCAUCGCCGUGAGGCAACUUAUAAAUAAAUAUAAUAAUAACUCCUAAAUGGCUUAGCUUCAAUUGUUACUGUUAUGGCACUCGAGAUGAGCUCCGUUAUACAACUCCUGAAAGUGACAUAUUAUGCAUGCAAACUAUUCAUUCCAUUUAGGCUAAAGUCAAACCAUAUAUCACUUGGAGCGUCGAGCUACUCAACGCAGUGCAGCAGCAUCAGAAAACCGACACAGCACCGACAAAGUCAACUCACAAAAGAAAUAUGAGAAAACUCGUAAAUAAGAAAUGUCACAAAAUUUCCAUUUGAAAGGUUUUCUCUGGCAUAGGAAAAAACAGUCGAAAAGUGGAAGUAUACAAACACAAGAGCGGGCCAAAAGUCAAGGUCUGUCAACUCUUCAUCGCUGGAACAUUUAAAGCGGAAUAAAUAAAUUACAAUGCAGACCAACAAAAAUGGAAAGUAAAUGAGUCGGGAAAUGCAAGACAGACAGUAUUUCAAUAAAAACCCAAAAUUUCCACAGCAGAAAGUGCAAGUUAAAGGUCUGAAUAUUGAUUGGUGGCUGGGGCGAAAUACUUAAUGAGCGUCAAUGGCUGUCUAAACAAUUUGUGAAGACUCAUAAUGAAGUUGUCAAUUAGACGAGGAGAAAACCUUGCGCAAGCUGUUUUAAAUCAGCCAAAAGUUUUGCUAAUUGUACUUGGAGGGGGCAGGAUGAAGCCGCUAAAAUCCCUAACAAGUUGCUGGCCAAACACGAAGACCUGAACUCCUGGGGUCCGAAACUUGCUAAACUGGCUUCGGAGGCUUUGGCUUCUUUCACAUGGUCUGCGAUGCAGGUUUUUGAAGAUCAUGGUCCAGCGAGCUAACAACUUGUUGUUACUCUUGUUGUUGUUGUCGCCAAACGCAUGCCCCUUGAUUGUUGUUGUUGUUGCUGUUGCAGAUGUUGGCGUUGCACUUAAGUGGCUAAAGAUUUUUAAGGUUAAUGCACUUGAGUUCGUUGUCGCUUCUUUGCUGACCAAACUUGGUUGCCCGGUUGUUGUGUUUGGUGUUACAACUAUGACGGCAACUCCUUUCGUGAUCUUGUCGCAAUUUACAUUUUCAUCCACCAAUAAAUGCGUAAAUAAUAAUUAUCCGUUAGGCUCUGCACAUAAAUUGCCAUCAAUUUGCUUUUGGAUCUUGUUUUUAUGUUUUCCCUCAUGAUCAUUUUUCGCGGCUUUUGAUUUUGACAAAUAUUACGCAUACGCAGCGUUAACCGGUGAGACACAUGCCACAUGCAAUAAGGCACUUUCACUUGCUCACAUUGCAUGGUUAAUUUAGGAGACAGAUUAUUCAACUGACUAAUUUGUUACGAAAAAAGUGUGGAAAGGCGGUCCGAAUGAAAUUAACUAAGUUAAUUCACAUGCAUAUAUAAUAACAGUAGGUGAAGUCAAUGAGGCUCUCUGCCUGUUUAUUCCGAAAAUUUUGAUGUUUGAUAUAUAAUUACGGAUUUUGUCUCAGUCAAUUUCUUAUGAAAAUAAAACUUGUUAUACUUUUCAAAGUAAACAAAAUAACGAUU